UACGUAGGUGGCAAGCGUUAUCCGGAUUUACUGGGUGUAAAGGGCGUGUAGGCGGGGACGCAAGUCAGAUGUGAAAACCACGGGCUCAACCUGUGGCCUGCAUUUGAAACUGUGUUUCUUGAGUACUGGAGAGGCAGACGGAAUUCCUAGUGUAGCGGUGAAAUGCAUAGAUAUCGCGCAGAACCCCGAUUGCGAAGGCAGCGUACCGGCUCCACACUGACGCUGAGGCACGAAAGCGUGGGUAUCGAACAGG
rnacentral:rRNA from 1 species